rnacentral:rRNA from 1 species
GCCUAACACAUGCAAGUCGAGCGGCAGCGACAACAUUGAACCUUCGGGGGAUUUGUUGGGCGGCGAGCGGCGGACGGGUGAGUAAUGCCUGGGAAUAUGCCUUAGUGUGGGGGAUAACUAUUGGAAACGAUAGCUAAUACCGCAUAAUGCCUACGGGCCAAAGAGGGGGACCUUCGGGCCUCUCGCGCUAAGAUUAGCCCAGGUGGGAUUAGCUAGUUGGUGGGGUAAAGGCUCACCAAGGCGACGAUCCCUAGCUGGUCUGAGAGGAUGAUCAGCCACACUGGAACUGAGACACGGUCCAGACUCCUACGGGAGGCAGCAGUGGGGAAUAUUGCACAAUGGGGGAAACCCUGAUGCAGCCAUGCCGCGUGUAUGAAGAAGGCCUUCGGGUUGUAAAGUACUUUCAGUCGUGAGGAAGGGGUAUAGGUUAAUAGCUUAUAUCUUUGGACGUUAGCGACAGAAGAAGCACC